ACGCAUAUUCCGAUGUAGGAAGUACACUUUGGUCUGGAUUUGAAUGUUUGUUUUUUGCGAUUUAUUUACUGGAUUUCUGCAUCAGUUUCUAGAAAAUAAAAACUGUGCUCUGGGACACGUGAAGGAUUAUAAAGGAGUGAGGCUUCCAUAUCUUUGUUUUUAAGGCACUCCAAACAGGAUGUAGCAAGGAGAACCAAGGAAGUGAUUAGCCUUGAUAACUCAACACCUGAAGCAUCCAAGUUCCCUUAUUGACCUCCUGAUAUCCUGCACCAGCUUCCAAGGUUCCUGUGACACCACUGGCCUUCUGAUCACCCACCUAAACUCCAUGCCUGCUUGGGACGGCAUCGGGUCACCAGCUUGAACUCUGGUUUGUUGGUAUUUUCACGCCCUCCUUCUCAGGGACCCCUCCACCUGCCAGGUUUGGGUUGUUUUUGAUGUUCUGGACUCUUUGGGGUGUUUAGUAUUUGCCCUUGAGGUAGGGGUUCUGUCAUGUUCUGUAGGUGUUUGGGUAUUCAUUUUUGUUUUGGGUUUUGUUUCUUCUAUUUCUUGAAUUUUGAUAGUGUUUAGUUUAUUUUCUGCUACUUCUGUAACAGUUUUUCCCUUUGGUUAAACAGUCCUUUUGUAUAUCAAUGACGGAGUUCUGGGAGUUCGUGUCCACCUGUUUGCCUGCUACUAACCAUUUCCAACCUCUAGAUGGCACCAGAUGCACGGUAGGAGCUGAGCCAACAGAUGUUCUUCAUCAGCCUCACCAGGAGAGGAGCAUAAGAACCCUAAGCUGCCAACACUCCAGUGCCUGAGUUUUGACCUACAGUGGUAACUCCUGCUGGCCAAAACAAAUCUCUUUUUAAUUAUUCAGAGUACUUACCUUCUCGUGUCCUCCUUCCCUGGUUACCUCCAGUCCUGGGCAUCGGUAUCCAGUCUGCUUAUGCAGAGAACCCUGACCCGCUCUUUUCAAGAAGACUUCACGUAUUGCAUUGUCAGUUGGCAGCGUUCUGGUUCCAAGGCUCCUCAGGCUACCUGCAAACAAACCUAGCUCACCCUCCACCGUGCUCACCCUCCAAGAAAACCCACCUGGUGCCAUCAUCAUCUCAAGAGCAAGUAAGACAGGAUUACCUGGACCGAUUCAUUUACCUUACACACUCCCGGAGUUUCCAUCGUCUUCCCCCCCGGCGGAUCUUCAAGUCUCCACCUCGGCGUGUUCCUGGUUCCAGUAUUCGAACACUUCAUAAUAAACUUAAACCUUUUCUGUUUCCUGAGUGUAUUUCUGCAUGUGGGCCAAAGCAGCUAGAAAAACAAUGACAAUUAGCUCAUUCCUGUUUACCACUCUAAGCCACAACCAUAUGCAAUCAUUACAUUGUGCUCACCUGUGCCACCUCAUUUUCAGAGAGAAAAUGAGGUGAAAAUGAAAAUGAACUGAUAUUUGAACAGCCUUAUACAAGUUUACCAGCUCUGUGGUUUUGGAGAUGUUCACAGCCAUCUGCAAGAAAUUCUAGGUCUGCCCUGAGGCCAUGCCAGCAGGGAGAUGUGUGAAAUACGAAGACACCCAGUAGGUAUCCUUACCAGCUCAACUAAUUCAAGUAGUUUCGGUGCAGAACAACAAAGACUCAGCAUUGGUCUCCCACUAAAUCCCUAAGUCCCUCUAACCAUCUUUUAGGGAGAAACCAGUUACUCUUUCAGUCACUUUACAUUAUGUUCUCCUUCUUUUGGUCACUACCUUUAUGACUAUGGCAUUGGAACAUUAAACUACAUUUUCCCUC